CGGGACUGUAGAGGGCAUGAGC
rnacentral:miRNA from 1 species